rnacentral:misc_RNA from 1 species
CAAAUCUUUGCGAGUGUUGUGUGCGUAACUGCGCACAGCAUUUCACAACAUUAGCACAAGGUCGCGAGACCUUGAUGUUCACGCUUGUUUGUUUGACAGAGUUAGUUGAGAAAUAAUAAAGA